rnacentral:lncRNA from 1 species
AAUGCUUCGGGCACCUAGCUGUGGAAGGAAGAAUUGAAAUUACAAUAAUAAAAUCCUAAUUCUAAUAGAAUACUAACAAUACUCUAAUUAGACUAUAAUAAUGCUAAGCAAGCUUAAUCAAAUUCAAAAAAAACUCAAAGAAAUUUCAAACAAACAAUAGGAAUAUUUAAAGAAACAUUAAAAAGAAUACAAAUGUCAUUCAAAUACAUCUCAAUUCAAUCUUAAAUUAAUUCUAGUUAAAAUCCUAUUGAACUUCAUUCAAACUUUAGGCCAAAACUAAUUGAAUCUUAAAUCCUAAUAAAAUCCUAAAUCCUAAAUCAAACCCCAACCAAAUCCUAAACCCUAAAUCAAAACCUAAUCAAAUCCUAAAUCAAAUCCUAAAUCCUAAACCAAACCCUAACCAAAUCCUAAACCAAAUCCUAAACCCUAAACCAAACCCUAAUCCAAAUCCUAAAUCCUAAAUCAAACCCUAAUCAAACCUUAAACCAAACCCUAAUCUAAAUCCUAAAUCCUAAACCAAACCCUAACCAAAUCCUAAACCCUAAACCAAACCCUAAACCCUAA